AGAGUUUGAUCAUGGCUCAGGAUGAACGCUAGCUACAGGCUUAACACAUGCAAGUCGAGGGGAAACGACAUCGAAAGCUUGCUUUUGAUGGGCGUCGACCGGCGCACGGGUGAGUAACGCGUAUCCAACCUGCCCAUCACUUGGGGAUAACCUUGCGAAAGUAAGACUAAUACCCAAUGACGUCUCUAGAAGACAUCUGAAAGAGAUUAAAGAUUUAUCGGUGAUGGAUGGGGAUGCGUCUGAUUAGCUUGGUUGGCGGGGUAACGGCCACCAAGGCGACGAUCGAGUAGGGGUUCUGAGACGGAACGGUCCCCCACAUUGGAACUGAGACACGGUCCAAACUCCGUACGGGAGGCA
rnacentral:rRNA from 1 species